AGCCUGAACGCUGGCGGCGUGGCUAAGACAUGCAAGUCGUACGGGUGUAGCAAUACACCAGUGGCGGACGGGUGAGUAAUGUAUCGCUAACGUACCCCAGGUUCUGGGAUAGCUGCCCGAAAGGGCAGGUAAUACCAGAUGACAUAUCCUUGUCGCAUGGCGAGGAUCUCAAAGGGAAACCGUCCUGGGGAGCGGGCGAUAUCGUAUCAGCUAGUUGGUAGGGUAACGGCCUACCAAGGCGACGACGCGUAGCCGGACUGAGAGGUUGGCCGGCCACAUUGGGACUGAGACACUGCCCAGACUCCUACGGGGGCUGCAGUAACGAAUCUUCCGCAAUGCACGAAAGUGUGACGGAGCGACGCCGCGUGUGGGACGAAGUCCUUCGGGAUGUAAACCACUGUCAGGGGUUAGAAAGUUCUGAUCAACCCAGAGGAAGGCACGGCUAACUCUGUGCCAGCAGCCGC
rnacentral:rRNA from 1 species